rnacentral:rRNA from 1 species
UACGAAGGGGGCUAGCGUUGCUCGGAUUUACUGGGCGUAAAGGGCGCGUAGGCGGACAGUUUAGUCAGAGGUGAAAGCCCAGGGCUCAACCUUGGAAUUGCCUUUGAUACUGGCUGUCCUGAGUACGGGAGAGGUGAGUGGAACUCCGAGUGUAGAGGUGAAAUUCGUAGAUAUUCGGAAGAACACCAGUGGCGAAGGCGACUCACUGGCCCGUUACUGACGCUGAGGCGCGAAAGCGUGGGGAGCAAACAGG